UAAAAAAAGGGAUUCAUGAAAUAAUUUUUGAAAUUAUGAUGACUUCAUUUGUUAAUUGUGUAUGAGUUAAUCUCACAUGGAAUUUCAGCAUCCUACUAUUAGAUACAUAGUCAAAGAAUGUAGUACAGUAGACUGAAAUCAUAUACCCACAUAUAUAUAUAAUAAUAGAUAUGCCCCCAAUAGAUUAAAUGAAAGGUGCAGGAAGCCCCAUGAUGUCCGAGUUUGUCCAAAAUGUAUUUACAACUAGUAUUACAAUAGGAAAAAUUAUGUAGUGGAGGUCAGAUAAAUUUGACAAUUUAGUUAUUCAUCAUGUAUUUAAUAUUCUAUUAUUUAGUUUAGUUGUGGUGGUCAUGUUUAUUUCUUGAAAACAUAUGUCAAUGGUAAAAUAAUUUAUUCAUGACUAUAGGUGUAUAUAGUAGAAAUGCAUCAUGAAGAUUUUGAUUCAAUGUUAUUGUUUUUUAUCUUUGCAUGUACUAGCUCUUUGGAUGAAAAUGGAAUAGGCAAUUAAGGAGUUUAUCAAUACAUAUACCGAUAUAAAACUACAGAAGCACUACAUAUCCCCGCAUGUAAAAAUCUAGCUAUACUACUUAUUAGUUAAAUCUAGUCACACUUAAAAAUUCACGGUAAUGUCUUAUCCCCAAUAGUAUAAAUUAAAUGCACAAUCCAUAUUUCCUGUGGUUGCAACUUGUCUAUCAAAUGAUCUGUAGAUGAUAUAAAUGCCACAUAUAGUUCUGUAGAUGACUAGUAUUCAGUACAAGUACACUCAUACAAUUAUGUCACCACUCAGGACCUGUACCACCCAUCACAUGCACUAGAAACCUUUUUACAUGUAUAAGGCUUCAUUUGUCCCUUUAUGUAUACGAGAUAGACGGCUUCAUUUGUACCUUUAUACGAGCUACUUAUUACCUUAUUUCAUCUGGCAUAUAUGCUGGGCAUUCCAUCUUACUUUAUAUAUGCUGAUGCCGUGUUGCCGUUAUUGAUUCAUAUUUCAGAUGCUAGGUGAUCAAGAGCUAUAUGUGUAAGAUAGAGGGCAUGCAUCAUUGUACAAGAUUAAUAAAGCUUGUCUUAUACUAAAAAAAA
rnacentral:lncRNA from 1 species